CCAGGGCGCUGUCUUGCUAAGGCUACGCCUCUCGCGCUCGUUUGCUUAAGGCACUUUGAGCAGGGCGUUUUUUGCCUUGCUGGAGGUGGACACCCUGAUUUCCACGCACCUAGAGGUUUCCUGGCUACCGUUGCUUCAGCUGGCGACCUUUGCCCAGACUUGGUCGAACUUGCACGGCAGGCGCCACGGGACUCCAAGGUGCAGCGUAGAAGCAGACUUCUUGGCAAUUGCCAGUGAGCUGAACUUGUUCUGCCUCCAACCUGUUCCUUUAAUUCACCUUUAAAAAAAUCUCCGCUUGAUGAACACCCCGAGAUUAAGGAAGGUGCUGUAAUUCAGUCUCUGCCGCCCUGCAGCAGCUCUUCUCGCUGGCCUGGUAACCAUAAGUUCCUUGUCCUUGCUCGGUUCCUGAAAACAAAAGCCAGCCGCGCGCGCAAAUGGUAUGAACAUGAUGGUUUACUUAGUCAAGUUUAGAGAUGUGGACUAUCAGGACAAGACUAUGCUUGAACUAGAGAGAAGUGCAUAUCACCCGGAGAUCCUGGCUUGAAGUUCUAUGCAGGAACUGAAGGGUGGUCCCUUGGGGUCACCAGAUCAAGAGGAGCCUUAUUUGGACCUGCACAUCUUCCAGAGAUCCAGGACUCAAGCUUUAGACACACAAUAGAUAGAAUUUGAACAGUCUCUCUUG